ensembl:lncRNA
AUUAGCAGUCAAUUAAGACAACCUCAAGCACUGCCAUUCUCCUUGUUAGAGCUCUGUCUCUCUAUUGGUGCACGCAGAACCCUCUGGAGGCUGUGUAGAGUUGCCAUGUAGUUGUCUAUCCAUUGUAUGGCUGGAAAGCCAUGGAUAACAAUAAUGACCCUUACAAGCAGGCUGUGUUCUUAGGGAACUCCGUGCAUAGCUGUUCUGCCGGUGUUUGAGCUAUGCCAUCAGCUUUGUCUCACGUCCCUUCCUGUUUUCUGAGCUUUGGGAACUGUGGGGUGCUGUCUUGCAGAUCUCAUUUGCUCUUGGUGCCAUCAGGCUGGGGAUCGGUCCUGAAGCCUUCUGCUACCUGCCAAGUCCCGUAUCUCACUGACUGGUUAGACCUGGAUCGGCUUUUGAAGGGCAUUUCUUGUUUGUUUGAUGCAGUCACAUAGGUGAGAAAGCACAUAACGGUGACCCUACACGUGGGAAACAAAAGAGCUCGAUAUAUUCGUACGGAGGCUGUGGGGCAGGAGCUGUGCCUUGCUCUGCUGUGCAGCCCCAAACGAGCCGAGGCUGCCAGGGAGCAGCACACAUUCCUUCCUUGCUCUCCUCUGCGAUUUAUUUCUAUGCCACACAUCUCCAAACAGCAUGCUAACUUUUGGUCUAGUUUUAAUACAUACAUUAAAAUAUCCGUGUCUGCCUUUCCAUGUGUAUAUAAAAGCAGAGGGACAGGGAAAGGGAAAUUAUUCAGACGACCUGGCAACUCAAAGCCAGCCAGAAGGCAUUACUUCUCCCAUGUUUCUGAAAAUAGCCGGUGCACGUUUGACUUCAAAGUAAUAAACAAUGCAGACAUUUUUCAGCCGUAUUUAUAUCCCUAUAGGAGGACACAGCAGAACAGUGGGUUAGUGAACGAGUUUCUCUCUUUGCUGCUCGGAUGAAGCUGAAGUGAUACUUCCAAAGAAACCCAUCCAUUCUCAGGCACAGAUCACUUUCUCCUCUCCUCUCUGCAGCUCCAGGUGCUUCAGGGAAUUCAUCUACAGAUGUCCGAAGCGCUGGGCUUUCUG